CCUACGGGCUGCAGCAGUGGGGGAUAUUGCACAAUGGGGGAAACCCUGAUGCAGCGACGCCGCGUGAGUGAAGAAGUAUUUCGGUAUGUAAAGCUCUAUCAGCAGGGAAGAAAAUGACAGUACCUGACCAAGAAGCCCCGGCUAACUACGUGCCAGCAGCCGCGGUAAUACGUAGGGGGCAAGCGUUAUCCGGAUUUACUGGGUGUAAAGGGGGCGUAGACGGGUAGGUAAGUCUGGAGUGAAAGCCCGGGGCUCAACCCCGGGACUGCUUUGGAAACUGUGUAACUGGAGUACAGGAGGGGCAGGCGGAAUUCCUGGUGUAGCGGUGAAAUGCGUAGAUAUCAGGAGGAACACCGGCGGCGAAGGCGGCCUGCUGGACUGAAACUGACGUUGAGGCUCGAAAGCGUGGGGAGCAAACAGGAUUAGAUACCCGAGUAGUC
rnacentral:rRNA from 1 species